GUGUCAGCGUCGUUCCCAGUCUGCUCCAACAGGCAACUGUGCACGCGUGUAGGAGAAAACAAGAGCGGCUCUGAAUGCCCGUGGCUCAAGUCAGCGUUUUCACAUGAAGUAACGAGCUGUGGCCACUAGAUGGCAGCACCACGCAAGCCGCUGAGCAGCACGAGCGGCAAAAUGAACGUCUGCGUGCAACAUGUGAAAAUGAAAGGAGCUCCCAAAACAAACAGCCACGUCAGACGAAAACAUGAAGACAUGUUUGUCUUGUUGCAAGUGCCCCACGCUGUGUAGCUGUAACAUGGCAUUAAGUAUGGAUAUAAAAAUAAAAGUAUGAAAAUAAUAA